UCUUAGAGCAUCUAAAAAUAAAGCAGGCAUCAAGAGAGCAUCCCAGCAGUGCCAUCACAACACAGGGCUCGAAUGUGGACAGGAGGAGGACCUAAGUGGACCCGGAGGCUGAGCUGGCCUCGCAGCACUGGUGGUGGGGGAGGGCUGAUGGUCAGGACUCUGGGUCUUUGGCACUGCUGCCUAGGCCGUGGCCCUCAGUCUGCCCAUCUGUGAAAUGAGGGGGAGCUGGUCCUGACUGCCUCCCAGGGACCCUGUGAAAAGCCGCUCUGAACUCCUUGCCAGAGAGGAGGUUUGCCGGUGCCACAAUCCAGGUCUGUGGGUUUCCCUAUCAAGCUGGUCUUUCUGUAAUAAGCAGGGAGACAAAGGAUUUUGGGGUCCCCACUAUGAUGUAAACCCUGUGCUGGGUGGGGUAGGGGUUCAGAAGCAGAAGUUGUGUUUUCAGCCUCAGGGAGCUCUAGUGGAGAGACAAGAUUCGUGCAUGAAAUAAUUACGACUGUUGUAGAAAAAAGAAAAGCCUGUAGGUCUCCCUUCCUCCCUCCUUCUCUCUGUCUACCUCAGCAUUUCUGGGGUUCACUCUGCUCUGGGUACUGUGUAAAGGACUCCACAGCCAUCAACUUCCCUUCAUCCUUGCCGUGUCUUUGAAAGAGCUGAGAUUUCUUUACAUCACAGUGGUUCAAGGAGAAAAACACAGCCAGAUCCUUCCUCAUCUCAACAUAAAUUAAACCCAGAGGCAGUCAGCGCCACAGUCCACACUCGUAACCGUUACACUCACCUGGAAAUAAAAGUAUUUUUGUGCGGGGACUGCAAGGACUAAGCCCGGCCGCACUCCGAGUUUCUCCUCCUCACAGACUGGAUGAUGAGAGGCACAGCUGAGUCCGGAGCAGACUGAGCCACCUAAGAGGGGAGGAACCGCUGCAGAGAAACCGUGUUAAGCCUUUUUGAAGUUCCAGAGGGAGAACAAGAGAGCGGAGGCUCCUGGUGGCUGGUGACAGGUGCUGAUUUGUUCUGGGGAAAGAGCACAGAAAAGUGCCUGGAGAGGAGGCGGGGCCAAAAUGGGAUGUAGGCGAUGGGAAGGACCCUCAAGACACAGUCCUGGGCUCCCAGGCAGGACCAACCCCCAAACCUGUCCCCCCAGGAGCCUGCAGAGCCACUGCCCUGACAGGGGACACCUCACUUCCUCUCCUUGCAGCUGCUCUUGGCUGGGAGAGCAGAGAACAGGGGACAGGAGAGAAGCCCCGAGAGUACUGAAGCUGAGGCUGGGGCGGUCUUCACUUCCCUCUUUCCUCGGCCCUUUUCCUGUUCUCUUGUCUUGUCUCUCUUUCUCUACUUUCCUUCUCCCUAGCCCAGUCUCUCACCGCUCUUCAGCCUCUGGGCCUUUCCUUCUUCCUCUCUUGCCCUCAUUCUUCCUUCUCUGUCCCUCUUGUCUUCUCUUUUACCUCUUCUCUUCUUCCCUCCUUCCUACAGCUAUGCCCUCUUCCCUCCUUUCUCUUGUCCCCAACCAGGGCAUUAGAAAUGCAUUCCAGUUACACUGAUCUGAUCACUGCAUAUUGUAUGCAUGCAUCAAAAUAUCACAUGUACCCCAGAAAUAUGUAAAUUACUGCAUAUCAAUAAAAAGAAAUGUAGCUUCUUUGCCUCACAUACAGAAAAGCCAAUCUGAAGUAUAAAUAAAUAAACAAACAAAUAAAUAAAACGAACCACACUGGCCCCCCCGCCGCCUCCCAGCCAUCAUCUGGGCCUGCCACUAUUUGCUCAGGGUAUCUAAACAUCAGCCAAAAUCAAAGAAAAAGUUUUAAAAUCUAUUGUUAAAAAUUUCCAAGGCUAAGUUGACAUGCAUGUACAAUAGCAUUUCCCAAACUGUGACUUAAUAAACUCCAAGCCUUCAAGUUGGGAGAGGUGGUUCCAUGAUACCGUUAAAAGCACAGACUGAAGCCCAUCUGCCUGGGUUUAAAUCCUUGCUCUGCAGCAUGAUAGUUAUGUGACC
rnacentral:lncRNA from 10 species